rnacentral:rRNA from 1 species
UACGUAGGUGGCAAGCGUUGUCCGGAUUUACUGGGCGUAAAGAGCGCGCAGGCGGUCGUUCAAGUCGCGUGUGAAAGCCCCCGGCUCAACUGGGGAGGGUCACGCGAUACUGAUCGACUCGAAGGCAGGAGAGGGUAGUGGAAUUCCCGGUGUAGUGGUGAAAUGCGUAGAUAUCGGGAGGAACACCAGUGGCGAAGGCGGCGAUCUGGGUCGAUACUGACGCUGAGGUGCGAAAGCGUGGGGAGCAAACAGGG